GACGAACGCUGGCGGCGUGCUUAACACAUGCAAGUCGAACGGAAAGGCCCUGCUUUUGUGGGGUGCUCGAGUGGCGAACGGGUGAGUAACACGUGAGUAACCUGCCCUUGACUUUGGGAUAACUUCAGGAAACUGGGGCUAAUACCGGAUAGGAGCUCCUGCUGCAUGGUGGGGGUUGGAAAGUUUCGGCGGUUGGGGAUGGACUCGCGGCUUAUCAGCUUGUUGGUGGGGUAGUGGCUUACCAAGGCUUUGACGGGUAGCCGGCCUGAGAGGGUGACCGGCCACACUGGGACUGAGCUACGGCCCAGCCUCCUACGGGAGGCAGCAGUGGGGAAUAUUGCACAAUGGGCGGAAGCCUGAUGCAGCAACGCCGCGUGCGGGAUGACGGCCUUCGGGUUGUAAACCGCUUUCGCCUGUGACGAAGCGUGAGUGACGGUAAUGGGUAAAGAAGCACCGGCUAACUACGUG
rnacentral:rRNA from 1 species